rnacentral:rRNA from 1 species
GGCGGAAUGCUUUACACAUGCAAGUCGAACGGCAGCACGGACUUCGGUCUGGUGGCGAGUGGCGAACGGGUGAGUAAUAUAUCGGAACGUAUCCAAUAAUGGGGGAUAACUAAUCGAAAGGUUGGCUAAUACCGCAUACGCCCUACGGGGGAAAGCUAGGGACCUUCGGGCCUGGCGUUAAUGGAGCGGCUGAUAUCUGAUUAGCUAGUAGGUGAGGUAAAAGCUCACCUAGGCGACGAUCAGUAGCUGGUCUGAGAGGACGACCAGCCACACUGGAACUGAGACACGGUCCAGACUCCUACGGGAGGCAGCAGUGGGGAAUUUUGGACAAUGGGCGAAAGCCUGAUCCAGCCAUUCCGCGUGAGUGAAGAAGGCCUUCGGGUUGUAAAGCUCUUUCGCAAGGGAAGAAAACUUAGUCUCUAACAUAGACUGAGGUUGACGGUACCUUGAUAAGAAGCACCGGCUAACUCCGUGCCAGCAGCCGCGGUAAUACGGAGGGGGCUAGCGUUAUUCGGAAUUACUGGGCGUAAAGCGCACGUAGGCGGAUUAGAAAGUCAGAGGUGAAAUCCCAGGGCUCAACCUUGGAACUGCCUUUGAAACUCCUAGUCUUGAGGUCGAGAGAGGUGAGUGGAAUUCCGAGUGUAGAGGUGAAAUUCGUAG